rnacentral:rRNA from 1 species
UACGGAGGGUGCAAGCGUUGUCCGGAUUUAUUGGGUUUAAAGGGUGCGUAGGCGGUUCUUUAAGUCCGGGGUGAAAGCCCACUGCUCAACAGUGGAACUGCCCUGGAAACUGGAGAACUUGAGUACAGACGAGGGCGGCGGAAUGAAUGGUGUAGCGGUGAAAUGCAUAGAUACCAUCCAGAACCCCGAUUGCGAAGGCAGCUGCCUAGACUGUAACUGACGCUGAGGCACGAAAGCGUGGGGAGCGAACAGG